rnacentral:rRNA from 1 species
AUGGUCCAUGUGAAUAUGGAGAUUGAGACGGAAGCAUUAGUUGAGAAGUACCUUGGACUACCAACCGCCAUUGGUAAAUCUUCUGAUGUACAGUUUGAGCACAUAGCAACAAAUAUUCGAAAAUUGGUGAAUGGGUAUGUUCCUAAACUCUUAAGCAGUGCGGCAAGGGAAGUUUUGAUUAAAGCGGUAUGCCAAGCUAUCCCAACUUAUUCUAUGAGCUGCUUUAGACUUUCCAAGAAAUUGUGCAAGAAAUUAACCAAUAUUGUGGCCCGCUUCUUUUGGGGGGAGAUGAUAAUAAGAGGAAAUUGCAUUGGAAGAAGUGGAAGGAUAUUGCAAUACCUAAAGGAGAAGGAGGGAUGGGUUUUAGGGAUUUCGAAUUAUUCAACCAGGCUAUGCUGGCGAAACAAGGCUGGAGGUUGCUUACAUCACCAGAUUGUCUAUGCGCUAGAGUCUUAA